rnacentral:rRNA from 1 species
CACGUAGGGUGCAAGCGUUGUCCGGAAUCAUUGGGCGUAAAGAGCUCGUAGGCGGCUUAGUAAGUCGGGUGUGAAAACCCCAGGCUCAACCUGGGGACGCCACCCGAUACUGCUAUAGCUAGAGUCCAGUAGGGGAGUGUGGAAUUCCCAGUGUAGCGGUGAAAUGCGCAGAUAUUGGGAGGAACACCGGUGGCGAAGGCGGGUCUCUGGACAGUUCCUGACGCUGAGGCACGAAGGUCAGGGGAGCAAACGGG